rnacentral:rRNA from 1 species
CCUACGGGUGGCAGCAGUGGGGAAUAUUGCACAAUGGGGGAAACCCUGAUGCAGCGACGCCGCGUGAGUGAAGAAGGAUUUCGGUAUGUAAAGCUCUAUCAGCAGGGAAGAAAAUGACGGUACCUGACUAAGAAGCCACGGCUAACUACGUGCCAGCAGCCGCGGUAAUACGGAGGGGGCAAGCGUUAUCCGGAUUUACUGGGGGUAAAGGGAGCGUAGACGGCAGCGCAAGUCUGCAGUGAAAGCCCAGGGCUUAACCUCGGAACGGCUUUGGAAACUGUGCGGCUGGAGUGCAGGAGAGGUAGGCGGAAUGCCUGGUGUAGCGGUGAAAUGCGUAGAUAUUAGGAGGAACACCGGUGGCGAAGGCAGCUUACUGGACUGUAACUGACGUUGAGGCCCGAAAGCGUGGGGAGCAAACAGGAUUAGAUACCCGUGUAGUC